UCUCUCGUUUCUCCAAUUAUAAAAGCCGGCUCGAACCCCAUUCCCAAAACCUCCCCAACCGCAACAGAAAACGGUUGGUUGGCCAGCAGCAGCAACAAUGAGGGACUUUCUAAUUAUCCUUGGCUCCUCCAUUGUCCUCCCUCCAAAUCACCACAACAACAAUCACUUCUCCAAACUCAAACCCUCCACCACCACCAAACUCUCUCCUUCCAAACCUCCACCACCACUCCAAUCACCGUCCACUUCAUCUCCGCCCACUCGUCCUCCCCUUUUCUCCACCGUCCGAUGGGACUCCGCCCCCUCCCGCCGCCGCAACCACCUCAAGUACUACGCCGACCUCGCUUCCAAUCUCGCCGAAGACGCCAGGUUCCACGACUUCCUGAUGAUUACGGAGAGCGUUGUGGUGUCCGGAAUCGAGAGUGCGGAUUUCUUGAGUUUGUUGAGCAUCGAGCUUUUUUCGGCUGGGAUAGUGCGAGUGAUUAGCGAGGGGAAGGUUUGGAGAGUUGUUGAGGUUCUGAUUUGUGUUGAGAAGCUAGGGAUUGAUGUGUUGCGGCUGUUUGAUGGGGCUGCGAUGGAGGCGAUUGCGGAAGAGUGUCGCCGGAUUGUGAAGCGGGGAGAGGUGGAGGAAGCAGUCAAAUUGAUGGAAAUACUUGCAGGUUUACAUUUUUCGAUCAAAGAACUGGUGGAUCCAUCUGAGAUUGUAGGACUUUGUGUGAGAAAACGUGACUCAAAUAUAGCUAUAAGGUAUGCUUGCAUUAUUCCUCAUGCACAUAUAUUAUUUUGUACUAUUAUUCAUGAAUUUGGGAAGAAAGGGGAUUUGGUGUCAGCUUUGACUGUAUUUGAAGCUUCCAAGCAGAAAUCGAUUGGUCCUAAUAUGUAUGCCUACCGCACAAUAAUUGAUGUUUGUGGUCUUUGUGGUGACUACCUAAAAUCUAGGUCCAUUUAUGAGGAGUUACUUGCUAAAAAGGUCACCCCAAAUAUCUAUGUUUUCAACAGCCUCAUGAAUGUGAAUGCCUGUGAUUUGAGCUACACAUUGCAACUUUACAAGCAUAUGAAAAAUCUAGGUGUUGCAGCAGAUAUGACAUCUUAUAAUAUUCUUUUGAAGUCGUGCUGUAUUGCUGCAAGAGUUGAUUUGGCCCAAAACAUUUAUAGUGAAGUUCAACGAUUGGAAUCAUCAGGAGUGUUGAAAUUGGACGUCUUCACGUACAGCACAAUUAUAAAGAUCUUUGCAGAUGCAAAAUUGUGGCAAAUGUCACUGAAAAUCAAAGAUGAUAUGCUAUCAGCUGGAGUCGCUCCAAAUACAGUUACAUGGUCAUCAUUGAUCAGUGCAUGUGCAAAUGCAGGUCUUGUAGAGCAGGCAAUUCAGUUAUUUGAUGAGAUGCUUCUCACCGGUUGUCAACCUAAUUCACAGUGUUGCAAUGUGCUUCUUCAUGCUUGUGUUGAGGCUUUCCAGUACGACAGGGCUUUCCGUCUUUUCAGGUCCUGGAAGGAAAGUGGGUUUCAUAAGGCUUCUGUUGAAGGGUACAAUGUCAAUAAAUAUAGUAAUGCAGGUGCUUAUGGAAAUUUCAGCAAUACCAUGUUGAAUCGCACAGCAAAGUCGCAUAAUUUAAACUUUCCUAGGCGUGUUCUCUUUACACCUACAACUGCAACGUAUAAUAUUUUAAUGAAGGCCUGUGGUACUGAUUACUACCGUGCAAAAGCUUUAAUGGAUGAGAUGAAUGCAGUAGGUCUCUCUCCAAAUUAUAUAAGCUGGUCAACUCUAGUUCACAUCUGUGGGGGCUCAGGGAAUGUUGAAGGUGCUGUGCAGAUUUUGAGUUCUUUGCGUGAGGCUGGCAUUCAACCUGAUGUCAUUGCAUAUACAGCAGUCAUCAAGGUUUGUGUGGAAAGAAAAGAUCUGAAGACAGCAUUCUCCUUGUUUGCAGAAAUGAAAAGAUAUCAAAUAAAACCAAAUAUGGUAACAUACAAUACACUUUUAAGAGCUCGAAGCACAUAUGGUUCCCUGCAGGAAGUCCAACAAUGCCUGGAGAUAUAUCAGGAUAUGCGUAAAGCAGGGUACAAAUCCAAUGACUACUAUCUUAAACAACUCAUAGAGGAGUGGUGUGAAGGAGUAAUACAAAAUAAUAAUCAGUAUGAAGGCCGGUUCAGUUCUUGCAACGAGGCUGACUUAGGGGGACCUCACAGCUUGCUUCUUGAGAAAGUUGCGGUUCACUUGCAAAAGAGAAACACUGAAAGCAUGGCAAUUGAUCUACAAGGUCUCACAAAGGUUGAAGCUCGAAUUGUUGUUCUUGCGGUUCUGAGAAUGAUCAAAGAAAACAAUGCCCAAGGAUGUCCACUAAAAGAUGACUUGUUCAUCAUCUUACAAGUCAAAAAAACAAGUACAAACUCUGCCAAAGCCAAAUCAGAGGUAGAAGAUGCUAUAACCAAACUUCUGCAGGAUGAAUUGGGGCUCGAGGUCACUUUGGCCGGAUCUGAAAAAGUCAAUCCGAGUACCUCUCUUGUUUCAUAUGCAAAUGAGGAAGAAAUUCUAGGAAGUAAUAGGUUCCCAACAAAGUUGAAACCUUCUGCCCGAAGACCUGCAAUUUUGCAUAGGUUGAAGGUUACAAGGAAAUCAUUGCGUUAUUGGUUACAAAGACGAGGCAACAAGAAUGACGUACCCAGAAGGGAACGAAACUUCAUUUUCAGCGAUUGUGAAAUAUGAGUGAAAGAGCAGCUGGGGUGGAAACAACUGGGGUGAAUCGAUUCGUUGCAGUUGUUGAUCUAAACUUCAUGAACCCAUGUGAACCCAGCUAGGAGGUUUCUUGGUUGUCCAAAUUAUAGAAAAAUUGGGGCUUGUGGCUUUUUCUCUUGGUAUGAUCCACCCACUUGUCCUUAGGGUUGACGAGCCUUACCAAAGUUGGUGGACAAGGUUGUAACCUUGGAGCAAAUGGUAAUUGAGAUUACAAGAUUGGAGGUUAUUCAAAUUUAUCAUGGUAGACAGAAAGGGAUUGUAGCUGGAUUGAUUGUUGCAGUGAUUGUAAUUAGAAUGUUAGUAGUUAGUAGUUAGGAAAUAUAGGUUUGUUAGUUAGCUAGUUAGCAAUUAUGGUUUGGCGAAUGUAAUGGCAACUAUGCACUUGUCAAUUUGAACUUAAUGUAUAAUUUUGAAUGAAAUGAGAAUUUCCUAUCUUGUUUUUAUGUGUU